GACGAACGCUGGCGGCGUGCUUAACACAUGCAAGUGGAGCGACGAACCGGGCUUCGGCCCGGGGCAAAGCCGCGAACGGGUGAGUAUCACGUGGGUAACCUGCCCCGAUGACCGGGAUAACCCGAGGAAACUCGGGCUUAUACCGGAUGUGCUCCCACUCCCCCAGGGUUGGGAACAAAGGAAGCUUCGGCCUCCGCCUUGGGAUGGGCCCGCGGCCCAUUAGCUUGUUGGGGAGGUAACGGCUCACCAAGGCGACGAUGGGUAGCUGGUCUGAGAGGACGAUCAGCCACACUGGGACUGAGACACGGCCCAGACUCCUACGGGAGGCAGCAGUGGGGAAUCUUGCGCAAUGCGCGAAAGCGUGACGCAGCAACGCCGCGUGAGGGAAGAAGGCCUUCGGGUUGUAAACCUCUUUCAGGAGGGACGAAGGUUCAGGCGCGAACAGCGUCCUGGACUGACGGUACCUCCAGAAGAAGCCCCGGCUAACUACGUGCCAGCAGCCGCCGUAACAC
rnacentral:rRNA from 1 species